AGAGAGAAAGAGAUUGUGGGCAGUCUAGGAGCUAUAGAGGUAGGGAAGUCAAGUGGAUGGCAGAGAGAAAUAGAUUGUGGGCAGUUUGUGCUACAGAGGUAGGGAAGUCAAGUGGAUGGCAGAAUGAAAUAGAUUGUGGGCAGUCUAGGAGCUAUAGAGGUAGGGAAGUCAAGUGGAUGGCAGAGAGAAAGAGAUUGUGGGCAGUCUAGGAGCUAUAGAGGUAGGGAAGUCAAGUGGAUGGCAGAGUGAAAUAGAUUGUGGGCAGUCUAGGAGCUAUAGAGGUAGGGAAGUCAAGUGGAUGGCAGAGAGAAAGAGAUUGAGGGCAGUCUAGGAGCUAUAGAGGUAGGGAAGUCAAGUGUAUGGCAGAGAGAAAUAGAUUGUGGGCAGUCUAGGAGCUAUAGAGGUAGGGAAGUCAAGUGGAUGGCAGAGUGAAAGAGAUUGUGGGCAGUCUAGGAGCUAUAGAGGUAGGGAAGUCAAGUGGAUGGCAGAGUGAAAGAGAUUGUGGGCAGUCUAGGAGCUAUAGAGGUAGGGAAGUCAAGUAGAUGGCAGAGUGAAAGAGAUUGUGGGCAGUCUAGGAGCUAUAGAGGUAGGGAAGUCAAGUGGAUGGCAGAGAGAAAUAGAUUGUGGGCAGUUUGUGCUACAGAGGUAGGGAAGUCAAGUGGAUGGCAGAGAGAAAGAGUUUGUGGGCAGUCUAGGAGCAAUAGAGGUAGGGAAGUCAAGUGUAUGGCAGAGUGAAAUAGAUUGUGGGCAGUCUAGGAGCUAUAGAGGUAGGGAAGUCAAGUGGAUGGCAGAGUGAAAUAGAUUGAGGGCAGUCUAGGUGCUAUAGAAGUAGGGAAGUCAAGUGGAUGGCAGAGAGAAAUAGAUUGUGGGCAGUCUAGGAGCUAUAGAGGUAGGGAAGUCAAGUGGAUGGCAGAGAGAAAGAGAUUGUGGGCAGUCUAGGAGCAAUAGAGGUAGGGAAGUCAAGUGGAUGGCAGAGUGAAAUAGGGUGUGGGCAGUCUAGGAGCUAAAGAGGUAGGGAAGUCAAGUGGAUAGCAGAGUGAAAUAGAUUGUAGGCAUUCUAGGAGCUAUAGAGGUAGGGAAGUCAAGUGGAUGGCAGAAUGAAAUAGGUUGUGGGCAGUCUAGGAGCAAUAGAGAUAGGGAAGUCAAGUGGAUGGCAGAGAGAAAGAGAUUGUGGGCAGUCUAGGAGCUAUAGAGGUAGGGAAGUCAAGUGGAUGGCAGAGAGAAAUAGACUGUGGGCAGUCUAGGAGCUAUAGAGGUAGGGAAGUCAAGUGGAUUGCAGAGAGAAAUAGAUUGUGGGCACUUUGUGCUACAGAGGUAGGGAAGUCAAGAGGAUGGCAGAGAGAAAGAGAUUGUGCAUAGUCUAGGAGCUAUAGAGAUAGGGAAGUCAAGUGUAUGGCAGAGAGAAAUAGAUUGUGGGCAGUCUAGGAGCUAUAGAGGUAGGGAAGUCAAGUGGAUGGCAGAGAGAAAGAGAUUGUGGGCAGUUUGUGCUACAGAGGUAGGGAAGUCAAGUGGAUGGCAGAAUGAAAUAGAUUGUGGGCAGUCUAGGAGCUAUAGAGGUAGGGAAGUCAAGUGGAUGGCAGAGAGAAAGAGAUUGUGGGCAGUCUAGGAGCUAUAGAGGUAGGGAAGUCAAGUGGAUGGCAGAGUGAAAUAGAUUGUGGGCAGUCUAGGAGCUAUAGAGGUAGGGAAGUCAAGUGGAUGGCAGAGUGAAAGAGAUUGUGGGCAGUCUAGGAGCUAUAGAGGUAGGGAAGUCAAGUGUAUGGCAGAGAGAAAUAGAUUGUGGGCAGUCUAGGAGCUAUAGAAGUAGGGAAGUCAAGUGGAUGGCAGAGAGAAAUAGAUUUUGGGCAGUCUAGGAGCUAUAGAGGUAGGGAAGUCAAGUGGAUGGCAGAGAGAAAUAGAUUGUGGGCAGUCUAGGAGCUAUAGAGGUAGGGAAGUCAAGUGGAUGGCAGAGAGAAAGAGAUUGUGGGCAGUUUGUGCUACAGAGGUAGGGAAGUCAAGUGGAUGGCAGAGAGAAAGAGAUUGUGCGUAGUCUAGGAGCUAUAGAGAUAGGGAAGUCAAGUGGAUGGCAGAGAGAAAGAGAUUGUGGGCAGUCUAGGAGCUAUAGAGGUAGGGAAGUCAAGUGGAUGGCAGAGAGAAAUAGAUUGUGGGCAGUCUAGGAGCUAUAGAGGUAGGGAAGUCAAGUGGAUGGCAGAGAGAAAGAGAUUGUGGGCAGUCUAGGAGCUAUAGAGGUAGGGAAGUCAAGUGGAUGGCAGAGAGAAAUAGAUUGUGGGCAGUCUAGGAGCUAUAGAGGUAGGGAAGUCAAGUGGAUGGCAGAGAGAAAGAGAUUGUGGGCAGUCUAGGAGCUAUAGAGGUAGGGAAGUCAAGUGGAUGGCAGAGUGAAAUAGAUUGUGGGCAGUCUAGGAGCUAUAGAGGUAGGGAAGUCAAGUGGAUGGCAGAGUGAAAUAGAUUGUGGGCAGUCUAGGAGCUAUAGAGGUAGGGAAGUCAAGUGGAUGGCAGAGAGAAAUAGAUUGUGGGCAGUUUGUGCUACAGAGGUAGGAAAGUCAAGUGGAUGGCAGAGAGAAAGAGUUUGUGGGCAGUCUAGGAGCAAUAGAGGUAGGGAAGUCAAGUGUAUGGCAGAGUGAAAUAGAUUGUGGGCAGUCUAGGAGCUAUAGAGGUAGGGAAGUCAAGUGGAUGGCAGAGUGAAAUAGAUUGAGGGCAGUCUAGGUGCUAUAGAAGUAGGGAAGUCAAGUGGAUGGCAGAGAGAAAUAGAUUGUGGGCAGUCUAGGAGCUAUAGAGGUAGGGAAGUCAAGUGGAUGGCAGAGUGAAAUAGAUUGAGGGCAGUCUAGGUGCUAUAGAAGUAGGGAAGUCAAGUGGAUGGCAGAGAGAAAUAGAUUGUGGGCAGUUUGUGCUACAGAGGUAGGAAAGUCAAGUGGAUGGCAGAGAGAAAGAGUUUGUGGGCAGUCUAGGAGCAAUAGAGGUAGGGAAGUCAAGUGUAUGGCAGAGUGAAAUAGAUUGUGGGCCGUCUAGGAGCUAUAGAGGUAGGGAAGUCAAGUGGAUGGCAGAGUGAAAUAGAUUGAGGGCAGUCUAGGUGCUAUAGAAGUAGGGAAGUCAAGUGGAUGGCAGAGAGAAAUAGAUUGUGGGCAGUCUAGGAGCUAUAGAGGUAGGGAAGUCAAGUGGAUGGCAGAGAGAAAUAGAUUGUGGGCAGUUUGUGCUACAGAGGUAGGGAAGUCAAGUGGAUGGCAGAGAGAAAUAGAUUGUGGGCAGUCUAGGAGCUAUAGAGGUAGGGAAGUCAAGUGGAUGGCAGAGAGAAAGAGAUUGUGCGUAGUC